rnacentral:rRNA from 1 species
GAUGAACGCUGGCGGCGUGCUUAACACAUGCAAGUCGAACGGAAAGGCCCAAGCUUGCUUGGGUACUCGAGUGGCGAACGGGUGAGUAACACGUGGGUGAUCUGCCCUGCACUUCGGGAUAAGCCUGGGAAACUGGGUCUAAUACCGGAUAGGACCACUUCUUGGAUGUUGUGGUGGAAAGUUUUUUCGGUGUGGGAUAAGCUCGCGGCCUAUCAGCUUGUUGGUGGGGUAAUGGCCUACCAAGGCGUCGACGGGUAGCCGGCCUGAGAGGGUGUACGGCCACAUUGGGACUGAGAUACGGCCCAGACUCCUACGGGAGGCAGCAGUGGGGAAUAUUGCACAAUGGGCGCAAGCCUGAUGCAGCGACGCCGCGUGGGGGAUGACGGCCUUCGGGUUGUAAACUCCUUUCGCUAGGGACGAAGCGUUUUGUGACGGUACCUGGAGAAGAAGCACCGGCUAACUACGUG